rnacentral:rRNA from 1 species
AGACGUAGGGGGCGAGCGUUGUCCGGAAUUACUGGGCGUAAAGAGCGUGUAGGCGGGCUGUUAAGUCAGAUGUGAAAGACCGCGGCUCAACUGCGGGGUGGCAUCUGAUACUGGCAGUCUUGAGGGCAGGAGAGGGAAGUGGAAUUCCUGGUGUAGCGGUGAAAUGCGUAGAUAUCAGGAGGAACACCAGUGGCGAAGGCGGCUUCCUGGACUGACCCUGACGCUGAGACGCGAAAGCGUGGGGAGCAAACAGGAUUAGAUACCCUGGUAGUCCACGCUGUAAACGAUGGGCACUAGGUGUAGGAGGUAUCGACCCCUUCUGUGCCGCAGCUAACGCAAUAAGUGCCCCGCCUGGGGAGUACGGUCGCAAGGCUGAA